GGGCCCGCACAAGCGGUGGAGCAUGUGGUUUAAUUCGAUGAUACGCGAGGAACCUUACCAGGGUUUAAAUGCAGAACGACAGGGGUGGAAACACCCCCUUCUUCGGACGGACUGCAAGGUGCUGCAUGGUUGUCGUCAGCUCGUGCUGUGAAGUGUCGGGUUAAGUCCCAUAACGAGCGCAACCCCCAUUUCUAGUUGCCAGCGGUUCGGCCGGGGACUCUAGAGAAACUGCCAGCGUAAGCUGUGAGGAAGGUGGGGAUGACGUCAAAUCAUCACGGCCCUUACAUCCUGGGCCACACACGUGCUACAAUGGUGGGGACAACAGGUUGCCAACCCGCGAGGGUGAGCCAAUCCCAAAACCCCAUCUCAGUUCGGAUCGGAGUCUGCAACUCGAGUGCAUGAAGCUGGAAUUACUAGUAAUCGUGGAUC
rnacentral:rRNA from 1 species